rnacentral:sRNA from 1 species
GAGUCCUGUUAAGGCCGAAUUAAUCUUUGGGCGGUAACGUCUCAUUAUUCAGAUUUGUUCUGGAUUUUUUCAGAGUGGUUUCUCCCUCUGUUUGACGCCUCCCUGUUAACUUCGAGAGCCGCCUUGCGGCUCUUUUUCU